AGACAAGCUAUGAAGGGCACAUGGUGGAUGCCUUGGCAUCAAGAGCCGAUGAAGGACGUUGGAGCCUGCGAUAAGCCCUGGGGAGUUGGCAACCAAGCUGUGAUCCGGGGGUGUCCGAAUGGGGAAACCCAGCACGAGUCAUGUCGUGUUACCUGCACCUGAACACAUAGGGUGUGUGGAGGGAACGUCGGGAAGUGAAACAUCUCAGUACCGACAGGAAGAGAAAACAACAGUGAUUCCGAGAGUAGUGGCGAGCGAAAUCGGAUGAGGCUAAACCGUUUCUGUGUGAUACCCGGCAGGGGUUGCAGGAACGGGGUCGUGGGACCGCUCAUCAGGUACUGCCGUGCUUGAGCAGAGUAAGAAACCAGUGUGGAAGUCGAAGCCGGUUGGAAAGCCGUACCGUAGAGGGUGAUAGGCCCGUAGACGUAAGACGCUGGCUCUGGAGCGUGUUCCCAAGUAACACGGAACCCCUGAAAUUCCGUGUGAAUCUGGCGGGACCACCCGUUAAGCCUAAAUACUCCUUGAUGACCGAUAGCGGACAAGUACCGUGAGGGAAAGGUGAAAAGUACCCCUGGCGGGGAGUGAAAUAGUACCUGAAACCGUGUGCCUACAAUCCGUCGGAGCUUUGGCCUUGUGCUGGGGUGACGGCGUGCCUUUUGAAGAAUGAGCCUGCGAGUUUGCGGUGUGUUGCGAGGUUAACCCGUGUGGGGAAGCCGUAGCGAAAGCGAGUCCGAAUAGGGCGAUUCAGUAGCGCGCUCAAGACCCGAAGCGAAGUGAUCUAUCCAUGGGCAGGUUGAAGCGUCGGUAAGACGACGUGGAGGACCGAACCCACUUAGGUUGAAAACUGAGGGGAUGACCUGUGGAUAGGGGUGAAAGGCCAAUCAAACUUCGUGAUAGCUGGUUCUCCCCGAAAUGCAUUUAGGUGCAGCGUUGUGUGUUUCUUGCCGGAGGUAGAGCACUGGAUAGCCGAUGGGCCCUACAAGGUUACUGACGUUAGCCAAACUCCGAAUGCCGGUAAGUGAGAGCGCAGCAGUGAGACUGCGGGGGAUAAGCUCCGUAGUCGAGAGGGAAACAGCCCAGACCAUCAGCUAAGGCCCCUAAGCGGUGACUAAGUGGAAAAGGAUGUGGAGUCGCAUUGACAACCAGGAGGUUGGCUUGGAAGCAGCCACCCUUGAAAGAGUGCGUAAUAGCUCACUGGUCAAGUGAUUCCGCGCCGACAAUGUAGCGGGGCUCAAGUCAUCCGCCGAAGCUAUGGCAUUCAGCGAAUACAUCAGCAUCCACUUGAUGGGUGUUCAGUGCGCUGGAUGGGUAGGGGAGCGUCGUGUGGGCAGUGAAGCGCCGGAGUGAUCCAGGUGUGGAGGCCACACGAGUGAGAAUGCAGGCAUGAGUAGCGAAUCACGGGUGAGAAACCCGUGCGCCGAAUGAUCAAGGGUUCCAGGGUCAAGCUAAUCUGCCCUGGGUAAGUCGGGACCUAAGGCGAGGCCGACAGGCGUAGUCGAUGGACAACGGGUUGAUAUUCCCGUACCGGCGAAGUUGCGCCCAUGACGAACCUGGUGAUGCUAACCACCCGAAACUCAUCGGACCGGACCCUUCGGGGCGAGGCUGGUGAGCGGAGCGUGGGACCCGAGCUGGUAGUAGUCAAGCGAUGGGGUGACGCAGGAAGGUAGCCCAACCACAGCGAUGGUUGUCUGUGGGCAAGCGUGUAGGACGUGGUGUAGGCAAAUCCGCACCAUCCACUUCAGUGUGGAGUCUGAGACGUGACGCGGAGCCAUAUAUGGCGAAGUGGGUGAUCCUAUGCUGUCGAGAAAAACCUCUAGCGAGCAACGAGCCGCCCGUACCCCAAACCGACUCAGGUGAUCAAGUAGAGAAUACUAAGGCGAUCGAGACAACCAUGGUUAAGGAACUCGGCAAAAUGCCCCCGUAACUUCGGGAGAAGGGGGGCCGGAUCCGUGAACCCACUUGCUGGGGGAAGCGGUGAUGGCCGCAGAGACCAGGGGAAAGCGACUGUUUACUAAAAACACAGGUCCGUGCGAAGUUGUAAGACGAUGUAUACGGACUGACUCCUGCCCGGUGCUGGAAGGUUAAGAGGACCGGUUAGAUCGCAAGAUCGAAGCUGAGAAUUUAAGCCCCAGUAAACGGCGGUGGUAACUAUAACCAUCCUAAGGUAGCGAAAUUCCUUGUCGGGUAAGUUCCGACCUGCACGAAUGGAGUAACGACUUUCCCACUGUCUCAACCAUGGACUCGGCGAAAUUGCACUACGAGUAAAGAUGCUCGUUACGCGCGGCAGGACGGAAAGACCCCGGGACCUUUACUAUAGUUUGGUAUUGGUGUUUGG
rnacentral:rRNA from 1 species